ACAGAGGUCCCAAGCGUUGUUCGGAUUCACUGGGCGUAAAGGGUGCGUAGGUGGCGAGGUAAGUUUGAUGUGAAAUCUCUGGGCUUAACCCAGAAACUGCAUUGAAUACUAUCUUGCUAGAGGGUCGGAGGGGAGACUGGAAUUCUCGGUGUAGCGGUGAAAUGCGUAGAUAUCGAGAGGAACACCAGUGGCGAAAGCGAGUCUCUGGACGACUCCUGACACUGAGGCACGAAAGCUAGGGGAUCAAACAG
rnacentral:rRNA from 1 species